rnacentral:rRNA from 1 species
UGGGUAACCUGCCUCAAAGAGGGGAAUAGCCUCCCGAAAGGGAGAUUAAUACCGCAUAAUAUGUUUAAGUCGCAUGACUUUAACAUCAAAGGAUUUUCUUUUAGAAAUUCCACUUUGAGAUGGACCCGCGGCGCAUUAGCUAGUUGGUGAGGUAACGGCUCACCAAGGCAACGAUGCGUAGCCGACCUGAGAGGGUNAUCGGCCACAUUGGAACUGAGACACGGCCCAGACUCCGUAGGGAGG